rnacentral:rRNA from 1 species
UACAGAGGUCCCAAGCGUUGUUCGGAUUCACUGGGCGUAAAGGGUACGUAGGCGGUCGGGUAAGUCUGGCGUGAAAUCUCCAAGCCUAACUUGGAAACUGCGUUGGAUACUAUCCGGCUCGAGGAAUGGAGGGGAGACUGGAAUACUUGGUGUAGCAGUGAAAUGCGUAGAUAUCAAGUGGAACACCAGUGGCGAAGGCGAGUCUCUGGACAUUUCCUGACGCUGAGGCACGAAAGCCAGGGGAGCAAACGGG